GAUGAACGCUAGCGGCAGGCUUAAUACAUGCAAGUCGAGGGGCAUCAAGGUACACGAAAGUGUAUUGUUGGCGACCGGCGGACGGGUGAGUAAUAGGUAGGUAACCUACCUCAUACUGAGGCAUAGCUGGGAGAAAUUCCAGGUAAUUCCUCAUGAGGUUAUAUGACACAUGUGAUAUAAUCAAAGGUAUCGCAAGGUACUGGUAUGAGAUGGGCUUACUGACCAUUAGCUAGUUGGUGAGAUAAGAGCUCACCAAGGCGAAGAUGGUUAGGGGUUUUGAGAGAGAGAUCCCCCACAUUGGAACUGAGAUACGGUCCAGACUCCUACGGGAGGCAGCAGUAGGGAAUAUUGGGCAAUGGGCGGAAGCCUGACCCAGCCAUGCCGCGUGAAGGAAGACGGCCUUAUGGGUUGUAAAACUUCUUUAACUAUGCGACUAAACUAGAUUUACGAGAAUAAUUCUAUAGAAUGUAGCAUAAGCAAAAAGCACCGGA
rnacentral:rRNA from 1 species